rnacentral:misc_RNA from 1 species
AUGCGAUACGUAGUGUGAAUUGCAGAAUUCAGUGAAUCAUCGAAUCUUUGAACGCACAUUGCGCCCUUUGGUAUUCCAAAGGGCAUGCCUGUUCGAGCGUCAUUUGUACCCUCAAGCUUUGCUUGGUGUUGGGCGUCUUUUGUCUCCAGCUCGCUGGAGACUCGCCUUAAAGUCAUUGGCAGCCGGCCUACUGGUUUCGGAGCGCAGCACAAGUCGCGCUCUUGCCCAGCCAAGGUCAGCGUCCAGCAAGCCUUUUUUCAACCUUUGACCUCGGAUCAGGUAGGGAUACCCGCUGAACUUAA